rnacentral:rRNA from 1 species
AAAGACGGACUUAGUGAUCCGGUGGUUCCGCAUGGAAGGGCCAUCGCUCAACGGAUAAAAGCUACCCCGGGGAUAACAGGCUUAUCUCCCCCAAGAGUUCACAUCGACGGGGAGGUUUGGCACCUCGAUGUCGGCUCAUCGCAUCCUGGGGCUGUAGUCGGUCCCAAGGGUUGGGCUGUUCGCCCAUUAAAGCGGUACGCGAGCUGGGUUCAGAACGUCGUGAGACAGUUCGGUCCCUAUCCGUCGUGGGCGUAGGAAAUUUGAGAGGAGCUGUCCUUAGUACGAGAGGACCGGGAUGGACAUACCUCUGGUGUACCAGUUGUCGUGCCAACGGCAUAGCUGGGUAGCUAUGUGUGGACGGGAUAAGUGCUGAAAGCAUCUAAGCAUGAAGCCCCCCUCAAGAUGAGAUUUCCCAACUUCGGUUAUAAGAUCCCUCAAAGAUGAUGAGGUUAAUAGGUUCGAGGUGGAAGCAUGGUGACAUGUGGAGCUGACGAAUACUAA